rnacentral:lncRNA from 1 species
AAUGAAUUGUUAUUUUUACUAAGUUAACAAAUGAGUAUUUUAAAUUUCUCAAUUUUAUGUCAAAUAUGAUAAUUAUUGAUAGAUGUAACUAUAUAAAUGAAAACUCUUUGGGGUUCCCAAUAACAUUUAGAGUGUAAAGAGUUCCCAAAAUAAAAAAGCUUGAUGGCUGCUAAUAUGAGACAAAAUAUUAUACUUUGCUCAUCUGUAAUCCAGAAAUCCAAAAUUCAAAGUGCUCCAAAAUCAUAAAUGAGCACCAACAUGCUGUCACAAGUGGACAAUUCCACACUUGACCUAUGUGACAGGUUGCAAUCAAAACAUAGCUACACUUGUAUAAAACUAUUCAGGCUGUGUGUAUAAUGUAUAUGUGAAACAUAAGUUAAUCUGGUGUUUAGACUUGGUUCCAAUCCCUAAGAUACCUCAUUAUAUACAUGUGGAUAUUUCAAACCCAUCCCCCCAAAAAUUAUGUGAACUGAGAGACUGAGACUGAAACAAAUGAAACAUGAAAAUAACUAAACGCCAUGGAACCAAGUGUUGCUCAGUAUGGAAUGGAGUCAAAAUGAAGAAUCCAAUAGGAAGAGAAGGUGGGAGGAGUGGCAAAAUUAAUUGAGAGGAGAGGUGAUAUCUGAAGUAAUUUUCUAUCUUGUUUGUCAUAGGAACAAACUGAUCUGAUGAACUCUAUCAGCUGUGUUUGGGACAGCUCCUAAGGGGUACCGUGCUUGGGCAGGACUUUGAGGGAGAACCCAGUCUGGAGAAAUGGGUGAAGGUCUCAACCCCAACACCAUCACCACCGUCUCAGGCCUAUCAGAUCAGAGCACUUUCAAUAACCUGGAAGUUGUUCAGAAUGUACUUGAUCCAGAGGGACGUGGGAAGCCACAGAAGAAUGUAAAGCAGAGGAAUGACCCUAUCAGAGGUGGCAGCUGUCACACUGGGAUAGGGUGGUGA